UUAGGGAGCGAAGCAAUUGGAAGUGGUUCCAAGAAAAGCCUCUAAGCUUCAGUCUAAUGAUGACCGUACCGCAAACCGACACAGGUGGGCGAGAUGAGUAUUCUAAGGCGCUUGAGAGAACUCGGGAGAAGGAACUCGGCAAAUUGGUACCGUAACUUCGGGAUAAGGUACGCCCUUGUAGCUUGACUGGCUUGCGCCAGAAGGGUGAAGGGGUUGCAAUAAACUGGUGGCUGCGACUGUUUAAUAAAAACACAGCACUCUGCAAACACGAAAGUGGACGUAUAGGGUGUGACGCCUGCCCGGUGCCGGAAGAUUAAAUGAUGGGGUGCAAGCUCUUGAUUGAAGUCCCGGUAAACGGCGGCCGUAACUAUAACGGUCCUAAGGUAGCGAAAUUCCUUGUCGGGUAAGUUCCGACCUGCACGAAUGGCGUAACGAUGGCCACACUGUCUCCUCCCGAGACUCAGCGAAGUUGAAGUGUUUGUGAUGAUGCAAUCUACCCGCGGCUAGACGGAAAGACCCCAUGAACCUUUACUGUAGCUUUGCAUUGGACUUUGAACCGAUCUGUGUAGGAUAGGUGGGAGGCUAUGAAACCGGAACGCUAGUUUCGGUGGAGCCGUCCUUGAAAUACCACCCUGGUUUGUUUGAGGUUCUAACCUUGGCCCGUGAUCCGGGUCGGGGACAGUGCAUGGUAGGCAGUUUGACUGGGGCGGUCUCCUCCCAAAGCGUAACGGAGGAGUACGAAGGUACGCUAGGUACGGUCGGAAAUCGUGCUGAUAGUGCAAUGGCAUAAGCGUGCUUAACUGCGAGACCGACAAGUCGAGCAGGUGCGAAAGCAGGUCAUAGUGAUCCGGUGGUUCUGUAUGGAAGGGCCAUCGCUCAACGGAUAAAAGGUACUCUGGGGAUAACAGGCUGAUACCGCCCAAGAGUUCAUAUCGACGGCGGUGUUUGGCACCUCGAUGUCGGCUCAUCUCAUCCUGGGGCUGUAGCCGGUCCCAAGGGUAUGGCUGUUCGCCAUUUAAAGAGGUACGUGAGCUGGGUUUAAAACGUCGUGAGACAGUUUGGUCCCUAUCUGCCGUGGGCGUUGGAUAUUUGAAGGGGGCUGCUCCUAGUACGAGAGGACCGGAGUGGACGAACCUCUGGUGUACCGGUUGUCACGCCAGUGGCAUCGCCGGGUAGCUAUGUUCGGAAGAGAUAACCGCUGAAAGCAUCUAAGCGGGAAACUCGCCUUAAGAUGAGAUAUCCCUGGGGACUAGAUCCCCUUGAAGGGUCGUUCGAGACCAGGACGUUGAUAGGUCAGGUGUGUAAGCGCAGUAAUGCGUUCAGCUAACUGAUACUAAUUGCCCGUAAGGCUUGAUCC
rnacentral:rRNA from 1 species